rnacentral:lncRNA from 1 species
UAGCGAAGCUUGUCCCGCCGGACUAGAACCGCAUAUUUUCUCCUGCAUCCGGUUGCCUUAGCGAUCGUAACAGACGAAGUAUGCGAUUUCCGGUCAACGAAAAGAGCCCGGUAGGGCAGAGGGAGCUAAGAUCGGUCAGAAAGUUCCCAAUCGGAAGUUGCCGCAAUGUAAAUUUGCCGUGCGGACGGAAUGGAUGCGAAAGUGUGCUCGAACGGAUAUCCGACAGAACGGAAGCAAUCAUAAACAAAUUCAAUUGUCUACGCCGAUUCUCGACAAUGGACGGUAGCGGCCGCAGGCAAACAGUUCGCCGGAUAAGAAGUAAGGGCGAGACACACGAAACGCACUCCGAGAACGUCAGCGGAAAACAGAUUAGUUGGAUGUGAGCCGGAACUCAGUGUUGUUUUUGCAAAUGUUCGCCUUCCCCGUACGAUGGCAACAAAAUUGCAAGCAAAGUGAUAAGUUUAACGAACCUAUACGCGCCCCACCCGCUACAACGGGGGUCGGCGAAAGGAUCGAAAUGUGCCGAUCGCCGCGGUCUGGGAAUAGCACCAUUGCAACUAAGAAGAAGUGCUCGAUCAUCAACAGAAGGUUAUACUGUUUUUAUUA